CCAGAGAGGGAAGUAUCCUGUGGACCUUGCAUGAGAGUCACAGCUGGAGAUGGGACAUUGAACAGCGUGGACCAGUGCUCUGAGGUCGUACAGAGAAUCCUCUUUCUUAGCUGCCUGCCUGCAUUGGACCCAGCCCUGUUCUCCCCUUGCCUCGCUCCUGCUAUCCUGCUUCUGACUCUGGGGUCCAGCUCCUGACUCUGGCUAUGUUUCCUGACUCCUGCUUAAACCACUAGGUCUGUGUCUGGCUUAUGUUGUCCUGGUCACUGCCACCUGUGACCUAGAGAAGGAGAGGACUGCUGAUUUAUCCUCUGAACAGCUGCCCACUAGGAACUGGAGUUGAGGCAACUAAUUUUACAUCAGCCACUGAACACUUCACAUGGAAAGCCGAUACUGUCAGAGAAAAUCUUCACUGAACUGACACCUCAAUUUUCCGUCAAAAACAGAUUCAACAGAAAAUUUUCAGCCAGCUGUAGUAUCAUGCUACAAUAACCUGACACAAAAGCCUUCUCUAGCAUUUCAGCUUCAGCUUGAAUUCUACUUAUGAGGUGAAAUUCUGCCCUCACUGAAGUCAACUGGAACUUCUUUAACUACACAAAGACACAUGGCCAGCUCUACUUUUUCUUCCUCAUGUGAGUAGUCCCAUUUGAUUUCAGUGGGUUUACUCAUGUGGGGAAAACAGAAUUUGGCCAACAACUAACAACCAAGCUUCACGUUUAAUAAUUUGUGGAAAAUAAUAGGAUAAUAAAUUAUGGAUAAUAAAGAUCAGAUAAUUAGAAACCUUUCCUGUCUCUUCAAAUCUAUGUUUAAAUGUGACCUCCACCAGAGAUUAUUGGCAGGAUAGAUAGGGGAAACAUACCAUCAUUUGGGUUUUUCAGAUGCUGUUUAUGUGAAGAAUCCAUUUUAUGCAAGACUGAGAAUCAGAACCUUAGAUGUCACUGACAUAUGAGUAAGCCUUCUUCAUCAAGCAUCAGUACUGAUAACAUUUAUACGACCUAAAACAUAUUGCUUUUUAAUGUCAAGAGAGGUAACAUUGUCACCAGUAACACUAUUAUCUGUUUCUUUCUUUCAUAUAUUUGUUCCCUUCCACAAAGAUAUAAAUUAAUUUAGAACAUAAUGUUGUUACCUCACACGAAGCAUUUUCUUGCAUGGUCCAAAAAUUCAUUUUGUUUAGCUGCUUGAAUGAAAUUAUUUCUUCGUUAAAUGUGUAGUAGAUAUUUUUCGAUUGAUCUUUCUGGGGAAUAUUGAGUAUUCUAUAUUAUGGUGUAUCACAGUUGUCAGUGCCCUGCAUGAAGUAAAGUAUAUUCCAUCCCUGGUGGAAU